GACGAACGCUGGCGGCGUGCCUAAUACAUGCAAGUAGAACGCUGAAGAGAGGAGCUUACUCUUCUUGGAUGAGUUGCGAACGGGUGAGUAACGCGUAGGUAACCUGCCUUGUAGCGGGGGAUAACUAUUGGAAACGAUAGCUAAUACCGCAUAACAAUGGAUGACACAUGUCAUUUAUUUGAAAGGGGCAAUUGCUCCACUACAAGAUGGACCUGCGUUGUAUUAGCUAGUAGGUGAGGUAAUGGCUCACCUAGGCGACGAUACAUAGCCGACCUGAGAGGGUGAUCGGCCAAACUGGGACUGAGACACGGCCCAGACUCCUACGGGAGGCAGCAGUAGGGAAUCUUCGGCAAUGGGGGCAACCCUGACCGAGCAACGCCGCGUGAGUGAAGAAGGGUUUCGGAUCGUAAAGCUCUGUUGUAAGUCAAGAACGGGUGUGAGAGUGGAAAGUUCACACUGUGACGGUAGCUUACCAGAAAGGGACGGCUAACUACGUG
rnacentral:rRNA from 1 species